GACGAACGCUGGCGGCGUGCUUAACACAUGCAAGUCGAACGGAAAGGCCCUGCUUUUGUGGGGUGCUCGAGUGGCGAACGGGUGAGUAACACGUGAGUAACCUGCCCUUGACUUUGGGAUAACUUCAGGAAACUGGGGCUAAUACCGGAUAGGAGCUCCUGCUGCAUGGUGGGGGUUGGAAAGUUUCGGCGGUUGGGGAUGGACUCGCGGCUUAUCAGCUUGUUGGUGGGGUAGUGGCUUACCAAGGCUUUGACGGGUAGCCGGCCUGAGGGGGUGACCGGCCACGUUGGGACUGAGAUACGGCCCAGACUCCUACGGGAGGCAGCAGUGGGGAAUAUUGCACAAUGGGCGGAAGCCUGAUGCAGCAACGCCGCGUGCGGGAUGACGGCCUUCGGGUUGUAAACCGCUUUCGCCUGUGACGAAGCGUGAGUGACGGUAAUGGGUAAAGAAGCACCGGCUAACUACGUG
rnacentral:rRNA from 1 species